GCCACCCUAGCUCAGUCGGUAGAGCAAUUGACCAGUAAUGAAUAGGUCGGGGGUUCGAUUCCCCCGGGUGGCUCCG
rnacentral:tRNA from 1 species